UACGUAGGGGGCAAGCGUUGUCCGGAUUUAUUGGGCGUAAAGAGCGUGUAGGCGGCCAAGCAGGUCCGCUGUGAAAACUCGAGGCUCAACCUCGAGACGUCGGUGGAAACCGUUUGGCUAGAGUCCGGAAGAGGAGAGUGGAAUUCCCGGUGUAGCGGUGAAAUGCGCAGAUAUCAGGAGGAACACCGGUGGCGAAGGCGGAUCUCUGGGCCUUACCUGGCGCUCAGGCACGAAAGCUAGGGGAGCGAACAGG
rnacentral:rRNA from 1 species